AAAUGGAAAGUCAUGACAAUUAGGGUUUACCCUAAUUGUAACACUAUAUAAAGAUCUUAUUCUUGACAAAAUCGGCCACUAGAAAGUGUAAUAGAGGGCUAGCCGAUUUUCAUGAAGUGUAGAAUUCUCUCAAGUUAUUCCAAGUGUAUUUGGUGUUGUGUGAACCAUUUGAGGUGUCACACUUGGGGCACUAGGCACUCAAGCUUCAUGAAGACUUUCUACAUCAAAGAGGUAUGUAUUCUAUCUUGUUACACUCAUUGUUUUGUAUGCUAGAUUAGGAUAAUACCUUGGAAGUUCUUAUUUGCAUGUAUAAUAGAGAAAACAUAGAUCCAAGGUAUUUAGGGUUGCAUGUACACUUAGGAGUGUUAGAAUGCUCAAAACCCAACAGUGGUAUCAGAGCCUAGGCUUGUUUUCUUGUUAUACUUGCAAAAGAAGCUGAAAAAUCGAGUUUUGAUGCUGUCUGCCCAGCAGACUCGCCGAGUCCAAGGCAAAAAGCAUCCAACUCGCCGAGUUGGUUCGUGCACUCGACGAGUUGGACCCCCAGACAGCAUAAAUUCGACUUUUUUGGCUGGAAUUGGACUAGGAACAUUACCCUAAGAUGUUUUUGAACUUAUAAACUUGUUUUUGAUGUGGUAAUGUUCAUGCUAAUCCAAUUUCAAAGAUAAUUGUCAAUAGAUUCAUGUUUUGUAUUAGUUUAAGGUUUAGACUAAUUACAUGAAAAAGUUUGAUUUGAAUUAUCUUGUUCUUAUGAGUUGCUUAGAUUAAUAGAAAAGUUGAGUGAAAUAGUUGUUUUCAAUCCAAAUUAAUCUAAGAGUUGAUUCUAAAAUGUGUUUUUGUAACUUGUCCUCAAGUUAUAUGAAAAGUCACAUUUAAGUUUCAUAAAACUCAUAAAAGUUGGCAAAGGUUACAAAAUGAAGAGUCUAGUUCUAAUUAAAUGGUUUUAUGACUCCAUAACUUGUCCUCAAGUUAUGGAGGACCAAGAGUCUCUUCAUUAAAUAAUAAAUAAAAAAAAAAGUAACCUUAAUUAAUUCCAUAAGUUAUAAAAUAAAGAAAAGUUAAUUCUUUUAUUAGUUUAAAGUCUUCCAUAACUUGUCCUCAAGUUAUGGAACUUGAAGAGUUUUUGGAUUAAAACUACUUUAAACACAUAAGUUAUGGAAUUAAUUAGUUUUGAAUAGUUUCAAAACUUGCCCUCAAGUUUUGGAAUUUGUAAAGUUUUCACUUAUGAAUACUUUAAUUCCAAGUUAGCCCUUAGAAUUUUAAAAGUUAAAAUUCAACCCUUAUACUUUAUAAUAUUAUAAGUUAAUAAUAUAUAUAUGUAUAAGAGUAAAGUCAGUCUUACCGCUAGUACGCCUCAUUCACGAAGCCGGUCUAUAAGGUGGGUAUAAGGUUGUUGCCUAUAAAAUGGCAACUUAAUGGGUGUCCACUCUCACCCACCGCUUGCUUGACUGGUGGAGGGUCGUUAGCCGAACGGGUUUGACAGGACUAGAAUUCUCCCUUCAUUAAAAGUAUUAAUGAUAAUACUAAGUAACUAAACUCUUAAUAAUACCCAAUCUUAGUUACUUAGGAAAAAUGUGAAUAAGGUGCUAAUCCAUGAAAUUACACUUUACACUUUGUCUAAGUCGUUAGUGGAGCGUGUGUGGUUAACCGGCACACUAACUUGGACUUAACAAGGUAGGUAAAGGGUGACUUAAUAUUUAUCAUAGUAUCGAUGGAGCGUGUGUGGUUAACCGGCACAUCGAUUGAGGGGUAAUUUAUUAAGGGUACCAAGUGAUUUGCAUGGUUACUUCACACCUUGUUUUGUGAUCCUCGGCAUCCCAGUCACAAAACCUGAAGGGCACACUCGAGAUUGAAACAUGCCUUUGAAAAGUUCAAUGAAUCUCAAAGAUCUAGGAGUUUCAAAACCAAUUAAAACCUAAUAAUACAUUUCGUUUAUCUUGGUGGAAAUUGGUGAAUCGUCAUUCACCUACCUUCAAAUAUUUUAUAGCUUGGAUUACGGCAUACCUCUUCUAAGUUAUAAAAUAGUUUGUUGGGUCCUAGCCUUAAUAUUUCAUAUUGGGUGUCAUAUUAAGGACUUUAAAUCAACUAUCUUGAAUAUCUCCCAAAAGAUGUCUGGUUUAGACACCUAUGAUCUUCCCAAAUCUCUUGAAACAAGGUUUCCUAAUGAAGAUGAUGUCCCAUGGAUAUCAUACUUCUUCACCUCUUCAAAUUAUUCUCCCUAACCCACAAGUUCUUGAAAAGUUUAAGGUCACUCAGGCCCUAUUGGCAAGGCAAGGUCUAGGUGUGGUCACAUCUUGGAGAUGUAGUCACAUAUUGACAAGCCGGGAGAGUUGGGUGUCAAAGUCUUGAGAAAGUUGGUGGUUCAACUACUUUCUAAGUCACAUAGUGAGUUCUUUUGGAACACCUAUGAAAAAGACUAUGACAAGACCCUUAAUGAUCUUAUCUAUUUGUUAAGAUCAACUUCCUAAAACUUUAUGGACAUUGACAAUGAUGACAUUGGAUAUCCAGUAAAGCAUUCUCUUCCCAAUGGAAAGGGAUCGGCUAUAGUCAACUCGGUUGACCAAAUGGUAAAGAGAAAAGCUAAGUCUGUGAUAGUCCUGUGUACCAUUAUCAAAGGGUCCAUAUGUUUGUAUUGCCAAAGAAAGGGCAUUGGUUGCGAAGCUGCCAAAUUUACCUAAGGAUGUUAAAGUCAAUAAGUUUGACUCUACUUCAGGUAAAAUCCACUAUCUAACUCUGUUAAGUUUCUAUUCUGAGAUUCUUGAUACAUGAUGUGACCGGGUCGCAUGGUGAUGGUUUAAGAAUCAAAGGAAAGUGAAGAAACUUAAAGGAAGAAUAUGCUGAAUCUGAUCGCAUAGAUGGAUUUCUAUCGCAUAGUUUGAAAAAUCGGAUUCUUGAGCUACUUCUUAGGAGUUAUGAGAUAUUGCUUAGGAAUAGAUAACAACAAGUUUUCAUAUGGAUUGUAAGGAUAGUUUUUCCGCAAAGUUUUAAAAUAAAAGGAAAUUUUUGAUUUUAUUUAUUUUAAAAUAUCCUUACAAUGGCAUCUGUGGAAAUUUUUGUUGCUUAUAAGAUUCCAUUAGUAGCAAGAGUGGAAGUAUGAAAUUGAUUCUUUCAUUUGUGGUAAUGUCUAAAUUUACCAAAUAAGGAAAGAUUCUCAUCACCCAAGUUUCAAUUGGACCGGAACUUGGAAUCAUGCAAGUUGUAUAGCAUGAUGAAUGAGAACUUUCAAGUUUUGGAAAAUUAAGACUAAUUACUUGUUCACAUGGAUGUGUGAGUCAAGUAAAGGACUUAGGGAUCGAGUACACAUUCUUGUGCACUGAUUAAGUCCACCACUAAAGAUCGAUAAGAAGAAUCAAAUAAGGCAGAAGGAUAAAAGUUUCUCAAAUCUGAAAAGAUGGGAGAGUACUUUAGUAUCAGUUUUGUGAUCAUCUUAAUGAUUAAGAAACCAUAUCAAAAUUAGUUCUCUAAGGAAAUCUUAGUGCAUUCUUAUGACUAAGAAGAGGAACUUGAAUUGUUGAAAUGGUUAAAUCAAGAAGAUGAGUCAUACUUCGUUCCAAUACAAGUCUUAGAGUCAUACUCCAAGAUUGUCAUUUGAGUGACAUGUCUUAAAGAAGGUUUAAAACACUUGUCAAAUGUAAGAGUAAAAGUUUUCUACUCUUGUACAUUUGAAAUUGGUAAGUUGUGAUGUUUUGGAUAAAACAAAGACCAACUUAGGCCAAUUGGGUAAAGUGUUUUUCUUGAUUAGAAUCCGCACUAUCUCUUGGAUGUUUGACAAGGGAGUCUUAUAUGUCAAGAGGACAGUGGGAGUCUUAAAGGUCUUGAAAGUCUCAAGAAAUAAUCAAGAAUAAAACCUAAAGUUCUUCACUAGCACACGACUUGAGGUUCAUAACCUAUCGUGUUGACAUAUUCUGUGCCCAUUCCAGUUAAAGUUGGUUUUGCAUAUGAGUUCUUAGAGUUCUCAAUUUGUUGCACAACAACUUGGAAGCAAUGGCAGGCCCUUGAGCUGCCAGGUGGCAAGAAGUUAAGAUUGAGUUCAAUCCAUAUGGUUUUGGAUUUGUCAUUAUCUUUGUCUUGUGAUUAUGGUUUGACAAAUUCAUAUGGGUAGGAACUCAUACACCAUAUAAAUCUAAGUGUCAUAAGGUUUCUCUCCGAUUCAUGAAAAUGAUGGUGAGGAAACGCUUUCACUAAGUAGAUUUUACGAAGAUAUCAAUUGUGUUAUUUGCAUUUUCAAAAGUCGUUAGUGGAGCGCGUGUGGUUAACCGGCACACUAACAUGGACUUGUGAGAAAUGGCAAAUGCCUAAGCAAUUGAGACCAUGAUUACGGUAUCCCUUUUCAUGGUUCUUGAAAUUGCUUAGACACACAGGUGAGCUAUCUACGGAAAGGGUGUAUGAAUCUAAAUUUCAGACUGUCCAGCUGAUUUCUGAGUACAUGUCAAAGCUAGUGGGAGCAUAAGUGUUAUGCUAAUAAUCAUCAUGUUAGUGGGAGCAUGAUAAUUAUGAUAAGUAUUGCAAGUUAGCAAUGUUAAUUAUAGAAAACAAAAGUUUCAAUUGGGAAAAAGUUGUUUUGCUAUAAUUAAGGGAGAGGAAAUUAUGCUUCAUCUCAAAUCUAUAAGCUUAGAUCGUGAGGUUUUAAUCAUUUAGUCAAGGAUAUAUAUGAAUUUCAUGUUGGAAUGGCUCAACAUAAGGAAAUUCUGUAUAUGGGUCCAUUAUUUGCGUUCUAAAAUUCGAUUAUGAUUACGGCAUCCCUUUUCAUAAUCUGAAUUAUGAGAACUUGGCAAAUUGAAAUGGAAAUAUUAUAGCAAAAGACUGGUUUAGUCUUUAUGUAAGACAUCAUGAAUCGUGUCCCAUAUGCUUCGGAUAUAGGAUCGAUUACAUGUGCUAUAUUCAUCCGUUCUAAAAUUUUCCAAAUGCCUGGGGCAUUAAGAAGGGAAAAGGUUUAGAACUGGAUAUGACUAAAAGGAUUAAACAAUUGUCGAGGACAAUCUAAGGUUUACCAAAGAUUGGUUACUCAAGGACAAUUGGAAGUAUAGUGAUAAUUCUGGAAGGACCAUAUUGACAUAAUCUGUAAGGAGGCAACUCUUGUUCAGAAGUGAUAGUCAAAAUGGAAUCUGGAAAUGUUUCAAAGUUAGAAUUUUCAAUCUGUGUAAGAUUAAGGAAACUUAAUGCAAGAAGGAUAUUUCCAAGGAGUUGAUCUCCUUUGGAAUACUCUGUAAUGAUUGUUGCCAAGUCUUUGUGACUUUGUGCAUAAUCAUUACAAGAGGAUCAAUGCAUAUAAGUUUAGAAUCUAACAGAUUUCAGUAAAUGGCAUGAAUUUGGAAUUCUUGCAUUUGCAGUAAGGAUUUGGGAGUGUGAAAAGAGAAUCAUUGAAGUUAUGUUCAAUUGAUCUAGUUCACAAAGUAAAGAUCAUAGACAAACAUAGUAUGCAUACUUGGUGUGUGGCAUGACUAGUGUUUAAGAAAACAUAGUGUACAUGCUUGGAGCAUGGGACAACUAUUGUUUUAAAUUCAAGAAUAAAGUUGAUAGCUGAAACAGUAUACAAUGAAUAAUGUGUAAUCAUAUGGUGAUAAAUAAAAGGUGUUUUAUUUAUGUUCAAAGGGUUGAUACCAUAUUGGAUUCAAUUAUUAUUGUGUUUCAUUUUGCAUGUUUUGACUUCCCGAAUAAACUGGGUUAUUCUUCCGGAAUGACUAAGUUAUUCAAACCAUCCACAGUCGGUCAUAUGUUGGAAGUAGAUAUGAAUUAAGACUGUCAUGGGUUGGCUUGUAGAGGUCUAAGGUGUUGGACAAAGGGCUACAACACUCAUGAGUGCUCAUAAGUUCUGAGUAUUGGAUUCAACCCGCGCUCAUUGGAAUCACUUCAUGGAUUUUAUCACGAGUGAUCAUGAGACGAUAAUAUCUUAUAUUCUUCAAACCUAGAGAUAUGAGUUGUUACUAUGAGUUGAUAGUACAUUGAUUGCACGAAAACGCAUUUGGUAACUCGGUGCUAUAAAACGUGCCUUUGUGUAUGAUUCAACAAGUAGUAGAACAAGCCAUAUGAGUCGAAGUUUAUCCAUUCCUUUUACCUUCGGGAUAAAAGCGAUAUCUGUGGGCCCCUCGAUGAUUUGAUGAUGACAAAUGGAAGUGCUCGGCCGGGCCAGGACUGAUUUGAUUUGUUCAAUUAGUCAGUCGUCAUAAAUCGGAAAUCGGGAAACAACAAAUGGACAGAGAGAAUGAUUAUAAUCCAUGUCUCAGUCCAUAUGAUAUCUAGAAUGGAGGAAUAUAUGAUCCCUUAUCUAAUGGACAAGUCAUUGACAAAGGUCAGAGUUCAUCUACAAGGUCAGAGUUCGACAGAAGCUUUUGAGAGCUACGAUUGCCAGUUGGUUCCUGAAGUCAUACGCAAUAAUAGUUUUAGACUUAUCCAAGUGGGAGACUGUUGGAUUAAUGUCUAAGUCCAUAACUAUAAUUGGUAAGACUUGACCCGACCCGGCAUGGUCCAUUUGGGUUGCAUACCAUCAUGCACUUGGAUAGACUAUAAUGAGAGAAAUAAGACACUUAUGGUUAUUAAUAUAUUAUAAGUUCUAGUAUAUUAAUAAUAAGAAUAAUAAGAUUAUUUAAUUAGUAUUGAUCAAGAAUUAAUCUAGGAUUAAUUAAGUGAUCAAAAGAAGACUAAUUAAAUAUAUGGGUUGAUUGUGUAAAUCAUCCAUACUUGUAUAGUGGGCUAAUGCUCCAUGGAUAAUCAAGUUGGGCUAAAACCCAUAGGAUGGUCCAUGGAUGCUCCAUGGUGUAUUUGUACCCAUGGAUCCAAGGAAAUGGAAAGCCAUGACAAUUAAGAGUUUACCCUAAUUGUGUAACUAUAUAAGCAUCUUAUUAUUGAGGAAAAAUCGGCCACUAGUGAUAGUGAAGAAAGGGCUAGCCGAUUUUGAAGAGUGUAGAAUUCUCUCAAGUCAUUCCAAGUGUUUUGAUGAUUGUGAUUCCAUUUGAGGUGUCACACUUGGGGCACUAGGCACUCAAGCUUCAUGAAGACUUUCUACAUCAAAGAGGUAUGUAUUCUAUCUUGUUAUAGUCAUUGUUUUGUAUGCUAGAUUAGGAUAAUACCUUGGAAGUUCUUAUUUGCAUGUAUAAUAGAGAAAACAUAGAUCCAAGGUAUUUAGGGUUGCAUGUACACUUAGGAGUGUUAGAAUGCUCAAAACCCAACAGUGGUAUCAGAGCCUAGGCUUGUUUUCUUGUUAUACCUGCAAUAGAAGCUGAAAAAACGAAUCUGGUGCUGUCUGGCCAUCAGACUCGGCGAGUCCAUCAGGAGACUCGACGAGUCCAUGCCUAAAAAGUGAUGAAUUCGAUCCAACUCGCCGAGUUUGUUCAUGCACUCGACGAGUUGGACCCCCAGACAGCAUAUUUUCGAGUUUUUUGGCUAGAAAUGGACUAGGAACAUUACCCUAAGUUGUUUUUGAACUUAUAAACUUGUUUUUGAUGUGGUAAUGUUCAUGCUAAUCCAUUUUCAAAGAUAAUUGUCAAUAGAUUCAUGUUUUGUAUUAGUUUAAGGUUUAGACUAAUUACAUGAAAAAGUUUGAUUUGAAUUAUCUUGUUCUUAUGAGUUGCUUAGAUUAAUAGAAAUGUUGAGUGAAAUAGUUGUUUUCAAUCCAUUUUAAUCUAAGAGUUGAGUAUAAAAUGUGUUUGUGUAACUUGUCCUCAAGUUACAUGAAGAGUCACAUUAAAGACUCAUAAAACUCAUAAAAGUUGGCAAUGGUUACAAAAUGAAGAGUCUUGUGUCAUUGAAUAAUUUUUUUUGACUCCAUAACUUGUCCUCAAGUUAUGGAAGUUCAAGAGUCACUUCAUUAAAGAAAAAUAUGUAACCAUAAUUAAAUCCAUAAGUUAUAAAAUAAAGAAAAAGUUAGUUCUUUUAUUAGUUUAAAGUCUUCCAUAACUUGUCCUCAAGUUAUGGAACUUGAAGAGUUUUUGGAUUAAAACUACUUUAAACACAUAAGUUAUGGAAUUAAUUAGUUUUGAAUAGUUUCAAAACUUGCCCUCAAGUUUUGGAAUUUGAAAAGUUUUCAAGUAUGAAUACUUUAAUUCCAAGUUAGCCCUUAGAAUUUUAAAAGUUAAAAUUCAACCCUUAUACUUUAUAAUAUUAUAAGUUAAUAAUAUAUAUAUGUAUAAGAGUAAAGUCAGUCUUACCGCUAGUACGCCUCAUUCACGAAGCCGGUCUAUAAGGUGGGUAUAAGGUUGUUGCCUAUAAAAUGGCAACUUAAUGGGUGUCCACUCUCACCCACCGCUUGCUUGACUGGUGGAGGGUCGUUAGCCGAACGGGUUUGACAGGACUAGAAUUCUCCCUUCAUUAAAAGUAUUAAUGAUAAUACUAAGUAACUAAACUCUUAAUAAUACCCAAUCUUAGUUACUUAGGAAAAAUGUGAAUAAGGUGCUAAUCCAUGAAAUUACACUUUACACUUUGUCUAAGUCGUUAGUGGAGCGUGUGUGGUUAACCGGCACACUAACUUGGACUUAACAAGGUAGGUAAAGGGUGACUUAAUAUUUAUCAUAGUAUCGAUGGAGCGUGUGUGGUUAACCGGCACAUCGAUUGAGGGGUAAUUUAUUAAGGGUACCAAGUGAUUUGCAUGGUUACUUCACACCUUGUUUUGUGAUCCUCGGCAUCCCAGUCACAAAACCUGAAGGGCACACUCGAGAUUGAAACAUGCCUUUGAAAAGUUCAAUGAAUCUCAAAGAUCUAGGAGUUUCAAAACCAAUUAAAACCUAAUAAUACAUUUCGUUUAUCUUGGUGGAAAUUGGUGAAUCGUCAUUCACCUACCUUCAAAUAUUUUAUAGCUUGGAUUACGGCAUACCUCUUCUAAGUUAUAAAAUAGUUUGUUGGGUCCUAGCCUUAAUAUUUCAUAUUGGGUGUCAUAUUAAGGACUUUAAAUCAACUAUCUUGAAUAUCUCCCAAAAGAUGUCUGGUUUAGACACCUAUGAUCUUCCCAAAUCUCUUGAAACAAGGUUUCCUAAUGAAGAUGAUGUCCCAUGGAUAUCAUACUUCUUCACCUCUUCAAAUUAUUCUCCCUAACCCACAAGUUCUUGAAAAGUUUAAGGUCACUCAGGCCCUAUUAGCAAGGCAAGGUCUAGGUGUGGUCACAUCUUGGAGAUGUAGUCACAUAUUGACAAGCCGGGAGAGUUGGGUGUCAAAGUCUUGAGAAAGUUGGUGGUUCAACCACUUUCUAAGUCACAUAGUGAGUUCCUUUGGGACACCUAUGAAACAGACUAUGACAAGACCCUUAAUGAUCUUAUCUAUUUGCUAAGAUCAACUUCCUAAAACUUUAUGGACAUUGACAAUGAUGACAUUGGAUAUCCAGUAAAGCAUUCUCUUCCCAAUGGAAAGGGAUCGGCCAUAGUCAACUCGGUUGACCAAAUGGUAAAGAGAAAAGCUAAGUCUGUGAUAGUCCCGUGUACCAUUAUCAAAGGGUCCAUAUGUUUAUAUUGCCAAAGGAAGGGGCAUUGGUUGCGAAGCUGCCAAAUUUACCUAAGGAUGUUAAAGUCAAUAAGUUUGACUCUACUUCAGGUAAAGUCCACUAUCUAACUCUGUUAAGUUUCUAUUCUGAGAUUCUUGAUACAUGAUGUGACUGGGUCACAUGGUGAUGUUUUAAGAAUCAAAGAAAAGUGAAGAAACUUAAAGAAAGAAUAUGCUGAAUCUGAUGGCGUAGAUGGAUUUCUAUCGCAUAGUUUGAAGAUCGGAUUCUUGAGCUACUUCUUAGGAGUUAUGAGAUAUUGCUUAGGAAUAGAUAACAACAAGUUUUCAUAUGGAUUGUAAGGAUAAGUUUUUCCGCAAAGUUUUAAAAUAAAAGAAAAUUUUUUUGAUUUUAUUUAUUUUAAAAUAUCCUUACAAUGGCUUUUGAGGAAAAAUUGUUGCUUAUAUGAUUCCAUUAAGAGCAAGAGUGGAAAUAUGAAAUUGAUUCUUUCAUUUGUGGUAAUGUCUAGAUUUACCAAAUAAGGAAAGAUUCUCAUCACCCAAGUUUCAAUUGGACCGGAACUUGGAAUCAUGCAAGUUGUAUAGCAUGAUGAAUGAGAACUUUCAAGUUUUGGAAAAUUAAGACUAAUUACUUGUUCACAUGGAUGUGUGAGUCAAGUAAAGGACUAAGGGAUCGAGUACACAUUCUUGUGCACUGAUUAAGUCCACCACUAAAGAUCGAUAAGAAGAAUCAAAUAAGGCAGAAGGAUAAAAGUUUCUCAAAUCUGAAAAGAUGGGAGAGUACUUUAGUAUCAGUUUUGUGAUCAUCUUAAUGAUUAAGAAACCAUAUCAAAAUUAGUUCUCUAAGGAAAUCUUAGUGCAUUCUUAUGACUAAGAAGAGGAACUUGAAUUGUUGAAAUGGUUAAAUCAAGAAGAUGAGUCAUACUUCGUUCCAAUACAAGUCUUAGAGUCAUACUCCAAGAUUGUCAUUUGAGUGACAUGUCUUAAAGAAGGUUUAAAACACUUGUCAAAUGUAAGAGUAAAAGUUUUCUACUCUUGUACAUUUGAAAUUGGUAAGUUGUGAUGUUUUGGAUAAAACAAAGACCAACUUAGGCCAAUUGGGUAAAGUGUUUUUCUUGAUUAGAAUCCGCACUAUCUCUUGGAUGUUUGACAAGGGAGUCUUAUAUGUCAAGAGGACAGUGGGAGUCUUAAAGGUCUUGAAAGUCUCAAGAAAUAAUCAAGAAUAAAACCUAAAGUUCUUCACUAGCACACGACUUGAGGUUUAUAACCUAUCGUGUUGACAUAUCUGUGCCCAUUCCAGUUAAAGUUGGCUUUGCAUAUGAGUUCUUAGAGUUCUCAGUUUGUUGCAUAACAACUUGGAAGCAAUGGCAGGCCCUUGAGCUGCCAGGUGGCAAGAAGUUAAGAUUGAGUUCAAUCCAUAUGGUUUUGGAUUUGUCAUUAUCUUUGUCUUGUGAUUAUGGUUUGACAAAUUCAUAUGGGUAGGAACUCAUACACCAUAUAAAUCUAAGUGUCAUAAGGUUUCUCUCCGAUUCAUGAAAAUGAUGGUGAGGAAACGCUUUCACUAAGUAGAUUUUACGAAGAUAUCAAUUGUGUUAUUUGCAUUUUCAAAAGUCGUUAGUGGAGCGCGUGUGGUUAACCGGCACACUAACAUGGACUUGUGAGAAAUGGCAAAUGCCUAAGCAAUUGAGACCAUGAUUACGGUAUCCCUUUUCAUGGUUCUUGAAAUUGCUUAGACACACAGGUGAGCUAUCUACGGAAAGGGUGUAUGAAUCUAAAUUUCAGACUGUCCAGCUGAUUUCUGAGUACAUGUCAAAGCUAGUGGGAGCAUAAGUGUUAUGCUAAUAAUCAUCAUGUUAGUGGGAGCAUGAUAAUUAUGAUAAGUAUUGCAAGUUAGCAAUGUUAAUUAUAGAAAACAAAAGUUUCAAUUGGGAAAAAGUUGUUUUGCUAUAAUUAAGGGAGAGGAAAUUAUGCUUCAUCUCAAAUCUAUAAGCUUAGAUCGUGAGGUUUUAAUCAUUUAGUCAAGGAUAUAUAUGAAUUUCAUGUUGGAAUGGCUCAACAUAAGGAAAUUCUGUAUAUGGGUCCAUUAUUUGCGUUCUAAAAUUCGAUUAUGAUUACGGCAUCCCUUUUCAUAAUCUGAAUUAUGAGAACUUGGCAAAUUGAAAUGGAAAUAUUAUAGCAAAAGACUGGUUUAGUCUUUAUGUAAGACAUCAUGAAUCGUGUCCCAUAUGCUUCGGAUAUAGGAUCGAUUACAUGUGCUAUAUUCAUCCGUUCUAAAAUUUUCCAAAUGCCUGGGGCAUUAAGAAGGGAAAAGGUUUAGAACUGGAUAUGACUAAAAGGAUUAAACAAUUGUCGAGGACAAUCUAAGGUUUACCAAAGAUUGGUUACUCAAGGACAAUUGGAAGUAUAGUGAUAAUUCUGGAAGGACCAUAUUGACAUAAUCUGUAAGGAGGCAACUCUUGUUCAGAAGUGAUAGUCAAAAUGGAAUCUGGAAAUGUUUCAAAGUUAGAAUUUUCAAUCUGUGUAAGAUUAAGGAAACUUAAUGCAAGAAGGAUAUUUCCAAGGAGUUGAUCUCCUUUGGAAUACUCUGUAAUGAUUGUUGCCAAGUCUUUGUGACUUUGUGCAUAAUCAUUACAAGAGGAUCAAUGCAUAUAAGUUUAGAAUCUAACAGAUUUCAGUAAAUGGCAUGAAUUUGGAAUUCUUGCAUUUGCAGUAAGGAUUUGGGAGUGUGAAAAGAGAAUCAUUGAAGUUAUGUUCAAUUGAUCUAGUUCACAAAGUAAAGAUCAUAGACAAACAUAGUAUGCAUACUUGGUGUGUGGCAUGACUAGUGUUUAAGAAAACAUAGUGUACAUGCUUGGAGCAUGGGACAACUAUUGUUUUAAAUUCAAGAAUAAAGUUGAUAGCUGAAACAGUAUACAAUGAAUAAUGUGUAAUCAUAUGGUGAUAAAUAAAAGGUGUUUUAUUUAUGUUCAAAGGGUUGAUACCAUAUUGGAUUCAAUUAUUAUUGUGUUUCAUUUUGCAUGUUUUGACUUCCCGAAUAAACUGGGUUAUUCUUCCGGAAUGACUAAGUUAUUCAAACCAUCCACAGUCGGUCAUAUGUUGGAAGUAGAUAUGAAUUAAGACUGUCAUGGGUUGGCUUGUAGAGGUCUAAGGUGUUGGACAAAGGGCUACAACACUCAUGAGUGCUCAUAAGUUCUGAGUAUUGGAUUCAACCCGCGCUCAUUGGAAUCACUUCAUGGAUUUUAUCACGAGUGAUCAUGAGACGAUAAUAUCUUAUAUUCUUCAAACCUAGAGAUAUGAGUUGUUACUAUGAGUUGAUAGUACAUUGAUUGCACGAAAACGCAUUUGGUAACUCGGUGCUAUAAAACGUGCCUUUGUGUAUGAUUCAACAAGUAGUAGAACAAGCCAUAUGAGUCGAAGUUUAUCCAUUCCUUUUACCUUCGGGAUAAAAGCGAUAUCUGUGGGCCCCUCGAUGAUUUGAUGAUGACAAAUGGAAGUGCUCGGCCGGGCCAGGACUGAUUUGAUUUGUUCAAUUAGUCAGUCGUCAUAAAUCGGAAAUCGGGAAACAACAAAUGGACAGAGAGAAUGAUUAUAAUCCAUGUCUCAGUCCAUAUGAUAUCUAGAAUGGAGGAAUAUAUGAUCCCUUAUCUAAUGGACAAGUCAUUGACAAAGGUCAGAGUUCAUCUACAAGGUCAGAGUUCGACAGAAGCUUUUGAGAGCUACGAUUGCCAGUUGGUUCCUGAAGUCAUACGCAAUAAUAGUUUUAGACUUAUCCAAGUGGGAGACUGUUGGAUUAAUGUCUAAGUCCAUAACUAUAAUUGGUAAGACUUGACCCGACCCGGCAUGGUCCAUUUGGGUUGCAUGGCAUCAUGCACUUGGAUAGACUAUAAUGAGAGAAAUAAGACACUUAUGGUUAUUAAUAUAUUAUAAGUUCUAGUAUAUUAAUAAUAAUAAUAAUAAUAAGAUUAUUUAAUUAGUAUUGAUCAAAAAUUAAUCUAGGAUUAAUUAAGUGAUCAAAAGAAGACUAAUUAAAUAUAUGGGUUGAUUGUGUAAAUCAUCCAUACUUGUAUAGUGGGCUAAUGCUCCAUGGAUAAUCAAGUUGGGCUAAAACCCAUAGGAUGGUCCAUGGAUGCUCCAUGGUGUAUUUGAACCCAUGGAUCCAAGGAAAUGGAAAGUCAUGACAAUUAGGGUUUACCCUAAUUGUAACACUAUAUAAAGAUCUUAUUCUUGACAAAAUCGGCCACUAGUGUGAGUAAUAGAAGGGCUAGCCGAUUUCAUGAAGUGUAGAUUUCUCUCAAGUUAUUCCAAAUGUAUUUGGUGUUGUGUGAACCAUUUGAGGUGUCACACUUGGGGCACUAGGCACUCAAGCUUCAUGAAGACUUUCUACAUCAAAGAGGUAUGUAUUCUAUCUUGUUACAUUCAUUGUUUUGUAUGCUAGAUUAGGAUAAUACCUUGGAAGUUCUGAUUUGCAUGUAUAAUAGAGAAAACAUAGAUCCAAGGUAUUUAGGGUUGC
rnacentral:lncRNA from 1 species